AUUGAACGCUGGCGGCAGGCCUAACACAUGCAAGUCGAACGAGUGGCGGACGGGUGAGUAAUGUCUGGGAAACUGCCUGAUGGAGGGGGAUAACUACUGGAAACGGUAGCUAAUACCGCAUACCAUCGGAUGUGCCCAGAGGGGAUUAGCUAGUAGGUGGGGUAAAGGCUCACCUAGGCGACGAUACCUAGCUGGUCUGAGAGGAUGACCAGCCACACUGGAAUGGAGACACGGUCCAGACGCCUACGGGAGGCAGCAGUGGGGAAUAUUGCACAAUGGGCGCAAGCCUGAUGCAGCCAGGCCGCGGGUGUGAAGAAGGCCUUCGGGUUGUAAAGUACUUUCAGCGGGGAGGCGUUACCCGCAGAAGAAGCACCGGCUAACUCCGUGCCAGCAGCCGCGGUAAUAC
rnacentral:rRNA from 1 species